rnacentral:rRNA from 1 species
ACCUCAGUAGAGUGGCGCACGGGUGAGUAACGCGUAAGUAAUCUACCCUCGCAUCAGGAAUAACCCACCGAAAGGUGUGCUAAUACCGGAUACGUCUCGUUUAAUUGCUUUUUACGAGAGAAAGAUGGCCUCUUCAUGAAAGCUAUUGUGCGGGGAUGAGCUUGCGUACCAUUAGCUAGUAGGUAGGGUAAGAGCCUACCUAGGCGACGAUGGUUAGCGGGUCUGAGAGGAUGAUCCGCCACACUGGAACUGGAACACGGACCAGACUCCUACGGGAGGCAGCAGUGAGGAAUAUUGCGCAAUGGGGGCAACCCUGACGCAGCGACGCCGCGUGGAUGAUGAAGGCCUUCGGGUUGUAAAAUCCUGUCAGAUGGGAAGAAAUGCCAUUUACCUAAUACGUGGGUGGUUUGACGGUACCCUCAAAGGAAGCACCGGCUAACUCCGUGCCAGCAGCCGCGGUAAUACGGAGGGUGCAAGCGUUGUUCGGAAUUAUUGGGCGUAAAGCGCGUGCAGG